rnacentral:rRNA from 1 species
CAGUAGCCGCGGGAAUACGUAGGGUGCGAGCGUUAAUCGGAAUUACUGGGCGUAAAGCGUGCGCAGGCGGUUGUGUAAGACAGGUGUGAAAUCCCCGGGCUUAACCUGGGAACUGCGCUUGUGACUGCACAGCUAGAGUGCGGCAGAGGGGGAUGGAAUUCCGCGUGUAGCAGUGAAAUGCGUAGAUAUGCGGAGGAACACCUAUGGCGAAGGCAAUCCCCUGGGCCUGCACUGACGCUCAUGCACGAAAGCGUGGGGAGCAAACAGGAUUAGAUACCCCUGUAGUCCCUGUCUCUUAUAC